rnacentral:misc_RNA from 1 species
CAAAAUCGUCAUCCCAAAAUCGUCGGUCUUCAUUCACCACUCAUGUAUGAGCGGAAUCAAAUUGCUUCAGUGUCAGUUUUGGAACCGGUGGUGAUGGCGUCGAUUUGGAAACUUGAUGGUGAAUAACAUUUUUCACAUCAUCGCACCCUCUAUCCCCUACAUCUUGGAACAAACUCCUUAUUGGCGGUUUCUAUGAGCGCCCAAUCAACACCCUCCCAUCUUAGUACACGAGAGGGAAGACGAAGGCCCGAGUGUGGAUGUUGAUGAAGGCACUCAAGUUCUGAAAGUCGAUCCUCUACUCCAAGCUUCUGCUUCAGUGCUCUUCAUCUUCUUCUCCAAUUAAACUCCUAAGCAUCAAUU